rnacentral:rRNA from 1 species
UACGUAGGGGCAAGCGUUGUCCGGAUUUAUUGGGCGUAAAGAGCGUGUAGGCGGCCAGGUAGGUCUGCUGUGAAAACUCGAGGCUUAACCUCGAGCUGUCGGCGGAAACCAUCUGGCUAGAGUCCGGAAGAGGAGAAUGGAAUUCCCGGUGUAGCGGUGAAAUGCGCAGAUAUCGGGAAGAACACCCGUGGCGAAGGCGGU